UACGUAGGGGCUAGCGUUAUCCGGAAUUACUGGGCGUAAAGGGAGCGUAGGCGGACUUUUAAGUGAGAUGUGAAAUACCCGGGCUCAACUUGGGUGCUGCAUUUCAAACUGGAAGUCUAGAGUGCAGGAGAGGAGAAUGGAAUUCCUAGUGUAGCGGUGAAAUGCGUAGAGAUUAGGAAGAACACCAGUGGCGAAGGCGAUUCUCUGGACUGUAACCGACGCUGAGGCUCGAAAGCGUGGGGAGCAAACAGGAUUAGAUACCCCGGUAGUCCCU
rnacentral:rRNA from 1 species